GUGGGGAAUAUUGGACAAUGGGCGAAAGCCUGAUCCAGCCAUGCCGCGUGUGUGAAGAAGGUCUUCGGAUUGUAAAGCACUUUAAGUUGGGAGGAAGGGCAGUAAGUUAAUACCUUGCUGUUUUGACGUUACCGACAGAAUAAGCACCGGCUAACUUCGUGCCAGCAGCCGCGGUAAUACGAAGGGUGCAAGCGUUAAUCGGAAUUACUGUGCGUAAAGCGCGCGUAGGUGGUUUUGUAAGUUGGAGGUGAAAUCCCCGGGCUCAACCUGGGAACUGCCUCCAAAACUGAAUGACUAGAGUACGGUAGAGGGUAGUGGAAUUUCCUGUGUAGCGGUGAAAUGCGUAGAUAUAGGAAGGAACACCAGUGGCGAAGGCGACUACCUGGACUGAUACUGACACUGAGGUGCGAAAGCGUGGGGAGCAAACAGGAUUAGAAACCCGGGUAGUCC
rnacentral:rRNA from 1 species